rnacentral:rRNA from 1 species
GACGAACGCUGGCGGCGUGCCUAAUACAUGCAAGUCGAGCGGAAGUUGGAGAGCUUGCUCUUCAACUUUAGCGGCGGACGGGUGAGUAACACGUGGGCAACCUGCCCUGCAGAUCGGGAUAACUCCGGGAAACCGGUGCUAAUACCGAAUAGUUUUCGCCACCUCCUGGUGGCGUACGGAAAGACGGUUUCGGCUGUCCCUGCAGGAUGGGCCCGCGGCGCAUUAGCUAGUUGGUGGGGUAACGGCCCACCAAGGCGACGAUGCGUAGCCGACCUGAGAGGGUGAUCGGCCACACUGGGACUGAGACACGGCCCAGACUCCUACGGGAGGCAGCAGUAGGGAAUCUUCCGCAAUGGACGAAAGUCUGACGGAGCAACGCCGCGUGAGUGACGAAGGUUUUCGGAUCGUAAAACUCUGUUGUGAGGGAAGAACAAGUACCACUUAACUACUGGUACCUUGACGGUACCUCACCAGAAAGCCACGGCUAACUACGUGCCAGCCGCCGCGGUAAUAC